CUAGUAAUCCCGAAUCAGAAUGUCGGGGUGAAUGCGUUCCCGGGUCUUGUACACACCGCCCGUCACGCCAUAGGAGUUGGGGGUAUCCGAAGUCGGUGAGCUAACCGCAAGGGGGCAGCCGCCUAAGGUAAAACCAAUGACUGGGGUGAAGUCGUAACAAGGUAUC
rnacentral:rRNA from 1 species